rnacentral:tRNA from 1 species
UGGGAUGGCUCAGUUGGUAGAGCAGCUGAUUCGUAAUCAGCAGGUCGUGGGUUCGAGUCCCAUUCUCA